rnacentral:tRNA from 1 species
GCCGAAGUAGCUCAGGGGUAGAGCAACUGAUUCGUAAUCAGUCGGUCAGGGGUUCAAAUCCCCUCUUCGGCUCCA